rnacentral:rRNA from 1 species
UACGAAGGGGGCGAGCGUUGUUCGGAAUUACUGGGCGUAAAGAGCGUGUAGGCGGCCAAGCAGGUCCGCUGUGAAAACUCGAGGCUCAACCUCGAGACGUCGGUGGAAACCGUUUGGCUAGAGUCCGGAAGAGGAGAGUGGAAUUCCCGGUGUAGCGGUGAAAUGCGCAGAUAUCGGGAAGAACACCCGUGGCGAAGGCGGCUCUCUGGGACGGUACUGACGCUGAGACGCGAAAGCGUGGGGAGCGAACAGG